UACGUAGGGGGCAAGCGUUGUCCGGAAUUAUUGGGCGUAAAGCGCGCGUAGGCGGUCCGAUAAGUCGGCUGUGAAAGUCAAGGGCUCAACCCUUGGAAGCCGGCCGAUACUGUCAGACUAGAGUCCGGAAGAGGCGAGUGGAAUUCCCGGUGUAGCGGUGAAAUGCGCAGAUAUCGGGAGGAACACCAAUUGCGAAGGCAGCUCGCUGGGACGGUACUGACGCUGAGACGCGAAAGCGUGGGGAGCGAACAGG
rnacentral:rRNA from 1 species